CCGCCUGGGGAGUACGGCCGCAAGGUUAAAACUCAAAUGAAUUGACGGGGGCCCGCACAAGCGGUGGAGCAUGUGGUUUAAUUCGAUGCAACGCGAAGAACCUUACCUGGUCUUGACAUCCACGGAAGUUUUCAGAGAUGAGAAUGUGCCUUCGGGAACCGUGAGACAGGUGCUGCAUGGCUGUCGUCAGCUCGUGUUGUGAAAUGUUGGGUUAAGUCCCGCAACGAGCGCAACCCUUAUCCUUUGUUGCCAGCGGUCCGGCCGGGAACUCAAAGGAGACUGCCAGUGAUAAACUGGAGGAAGGUGGGGAUGACGUCAAGUCAUCAUGGCCCUUACGACCAGGGCUACACACGUGCUACAAUGGCGCAUACAAAGAGAAGCGACCUCGCGAGAGCAAGCGGACCUCAUAAAGUGCGUCGUAGUCCGGAUUGGAGUCUGCAACUCGACUCCAUGAAGUCGGAAUCGCUAGUAAUCGUGGAUCAGAAUGCCACGGUGAAUACGUUCCCGGGCCUUGUACACACCGCCCGUCACACCAUGGGAGUGGGUUGCAAAAGAAGUAGGUAGCUUAACCUUCGGGAGGGCGCUUACCACUUUGUGAUUCAUGACUGGGGUGAAGUCGUAACAAGGUAACCGUAGGGGAACCUGCGGUUGGAUCACCUCCUUACCUUAAAGAAGC
rnacentral:rRNA from 2 species